rnacentral:rRNA from 1 species
AUGUUGGGUUAAGUCCCGCAACGAGCGCAACCCUUAUCCUUAGUUGCCAUCAUUUGGUUGGGCACUCUAGGGAGACCGCCGGUGACAAACCGGAGGAAGGUGGGGAUGACGUCAAGUCACUCACUGGGCCCCUUAUGGCCAGUGGCGUACACACGCUACGUACAAAUGGGUGCUACUACAGAGGGGUUGCCAAGCCGCGAGGUGGAGCUAAAUCCCCACGUAAAAGUACGAUCGCUAGUCCCGGGAUCGGGAGUCUGCGAACUCUGCACUCCCGCUGAAAGUCUGGAAUCUGCUAGUAAUCUGCCGGAUCACGCAUUUGCGGCGGUGAAUACGUUCCCGGGCCUUGUACACACCGCCCGU